AUUGAACGCUGGCGGCAUGCUUUACACAUGCAAGUCGAACGGUAACAGGGUGCUUGCACCGCUGACGAGUGGCGAACGGGUGAGUAAUGCGUCGGAGCGUGCCGCGUAGUGGGGGAUAACGCAGCGGAAGUUGUGCUAAUACCGCAUACGUACUGAGGUAGAAAGUGGGGGACCUUCGGGCCUCACGCUAUUCGAGCGGCCGACGUGUGAUUAGCUAGUAGGUGAGGUAAAGGCUCACCUAGGCGACGAUCAAUAGCGGGUCUGAGAGGAUGAUCCGCCAACCUGGGACGUAGCCACGGCCCAGACACCUACGGGAGGCAGCAGUGGGGAAUUUUGGACAAUGGGCGAGAGCCUGAUCCAGCGAUGCCGCGUGUCUGAAGAAGGCCUUCGGGUUGUAAAGGACUGUUGUCAGGGAGGAAAUCCCUAGUGCUAAUAACACUGGGGGAUGACAGUACCUGAAGAAUAAGCACCAGCUACCUACGUGCCAGCAGCCGCGGUAACAC
rnacentral:rRNA from 1 species